rnacentral:rRNA from 1 species
GAUGAACGCUAGCGGCAGGCCUAAUACAUGCAAGUCGAGGGGCAGCGCAGGUAGCAAUACCGGGCGGCGACCGGCAAACGGGUGCGGAACACGUACGCAACCUUCCUUCAAGCGGGGGAUAGCCCAGAGAAAUUUGGAUUAAUACCCCAUAGGAAUGUGGUCUCGCAUGAGACAGCAUUUAAAGAUUUAUCACUUGAAGAUGGGCGUGCGUCUGAUUAGGUAGUUGGUGAGGUAACGGCUCACCAAGCCGACGAUCAGUAACUGGCGUGAGAGCGCGACCAGUCACACGGGCACUGAGACACGGGCCCGACUCCUACGGGAGGCA